GAUUGUAGGCUGAAACUCGCCUAUAUGAAGUCGGAAUUGCUAGUAAUCGCGGAUCAGCAUGCCGCGGUGAAUACGUUCCCGGGCCUUAUACACACCGCCCGUCACACCAUGAGAGUCGAUAACACCCGAAGCCUGUAGUCUAACCAUAUGGGGGACGCAGUCGAAGGUGGGAUUGAUAAUUAGGGUGAAGUCGUAACAAGGUACC
rnacentral:rRNA from 1 species